GGGAUAACAGGCUUAUCUCCCCCAAGAGUUCACAUCGACGGGGAGGUUUGGCACCUCGAUGUCGGCUCAUCGCAUCCUGGGGCUGUAGUCGGUCCCAAGGGUUGGGCUGUUCGCCCAUUAAAGCGGUACGCGAGCUGGGUUCAGAACGUCGUGAGACAGUUCGGUCCCUAUCCGUCGUGGGCGUAGGAAAUUUGAGAGGAGCUGUCCUUAGUACGAGAGGACCGGGAUGGACAUACCUCUGGUGUACCAGUUGUCGCGCCAGCGGCAUAGCUGGGUAGCUAUGUAUGGACGGGAUAAGUGCUGAAAGCAUCUAAGCAUGAAGCCCCCCUCAAGAUGAGAUUUCCCAACUUCGGUUAUAAGAUCCCUCAAAGAUGAUGAGGUUAAUAGGUUCGGGGUGUAAGCGCAGUAAUGUGUGUAGCUGACGAAUACUAAUCGAUCGAAGACUUAAUCAA
rnacentral:rRNA from 1 species